UCUCCGUUGGUGAACCAGCGGAGGGAUCAUUACUGAGUCGUAAAAAACUCCCAACCCAUGUGAAUUUACCUAUGUUGCCUCGGCGGGACCUACCCGGUAUCUACCCUGUAGCCCGCCGAUGGACCAUUAAACUCUUGUUAUUUUAUAUAAAUCUGAGCGUCUUAUUAAAUAAGUCAAAACUUUCAACAACGGAUCUCUUGGUUCUG
rnacentral:misc_RNA from 1 species